rnacentral:lncRNA from 1 species
CUCACACUUUUUCUUGAGCGUUUUAGCAGACCGAUACUCUGAGGGACACUCUAUCAUACAUAAUAAUGUUCCAAUAAAUGAGGCAAAACACUCCUUUGUUCUUGGGAAUCCUCAAAGUGAAGUUCAUGAAGCAACAACCACAAAAAUCACCAUCACCACUCACAACUACAGUCUACUACCCCCCCUUGGGGUUACGAAUGCCCACGCUAUGGUGAGCGGAUCCAUGGGGAAGAAACAUCAUCUACAAGGUACAAAUAUGAAUUUGAAUGGCUAUUAUUGUAUAAAAUGUGUUACACUACGAGGGCGGAUUAAUACGUCAGAAGACGGAUUGAGUUUGAAGAUAAGACCAUCUCAAAUCAUAGUUUUGAAAGUAUCAGCCCCAAGAAGGAAAUCAAGCGGUCACAUUCCCAAGAGCCCAAGAGCUUGAACAUCUCUUCACCUCUCUUUUCUGUAACUUCUAUGCCUUUAAACAAAAGACAAGUCAUACAGAGAGUAGACCGGCUACGAAUAUCCUCACCGUCUGCUGAGAGAAUGGAUAAGGAUGUCCUUUCUAGACAAGAAGAUCUUGUGCCCCAAAGCAUUUCCUCCAAGAAAAUUGAUUCAUCUCGUAAAAUGGAGGUUAUCCUUAAGUGCAAAAGUAUAUAAUUCCACAUAUUUUAUUCUUUAGAUUCUAUUUAUUUUAAUUAUGUUUCUGAAAUUUAUUUUUAUUCAUUAACAAAAUGUACAACCUGCGUUUUUUUUAUUCCUUUUCCCUAUUUAGCUGCAAAAUGAGUUCUUUGAGUGUAAUAAACAAUUAAUUGUA